rnacentral:rRNA from 1 species
UACGUAGGGGGGCUAGCGUUGUCCGGAAUCAUUGGGCGUAAAGCGCGUGUAGGCGGCCAGAUAGGUCUGCUGUGAAAAACUCGAGGCUCAACCCUCGAGCUGUCGGCGGAAAACCAUCCGGCUAGAGUCCGGAAGAGGAGAGUGGAAUUCCCCGGUGUAGCGGUGAAAAUGCGCAGAUAUCGGGGAAGAACACCAGUGGCGAAGGGCGGCCUCUCUGGGGACGGUACUGACGCUGAGACGCGAAAGCGUGGGGAGCAAACAGG